rnacentral:rRNA from 1 species
AGUUUAAAGUUUAAUAUUUUAAAUGUAUCCUGCCCAGUGUUUUUAAUAAAUGGCCGCAGUACCCUGACUGUGCAAAGGUAGCAUAAUCAAUUGGCUUUUAAUUAAAGUCUGGAAUGAAUGGAUUUAUGGAAAAAAGCUGUCUUAAAAAUAUUUAAUUAAAAUUAUUUAUUAGGUGAAAAUACCUAUUUAAAGAAAAAAGACGAGAAGACCCUUAGAAUUUUUAUAAUAUACUAGUUUACUUGUAUUUAUUUUUGUUGGGGCGACAAUUAAGCAAUAAAACCUUAAGUUUUUAUAAAACGAAAUUGUUAUAAAAGAUUAAAUUACCUUAGGGAUAACAGCAUUAUUUAUAAAAGUUUGUGACCUCGAUGUU